AUUGAACGCUGGCGGCAGGCCUAACACAUGCAAGUCGAACGGUAACAUUUCUAGCUUGCUAGAAGAUGACGAGUGGCGGACGGGUGAGUAAUGCUUGGGAACUUGCCUUUGCGAGGGGGAUAACAGUUGGAAACGACUGCUAACACCGCAUAAUGUCUACGGACCAAACGGGGCUUCGGCUCCGGCGCAAAGAGAGGCCCAAGUGAGAUUAGCUAGUUGGUAAGGUAACGGCUUACCAAGGCGACGAUCUCUAGCUGUUCUGAGAGGAAGAUCAGCCACACUGGGACUGAGACACGGCCCAGACUCCUACGGGAGGCAGCAGUGGGGAAUAUUGCACAAUGGGGGAAACCCUGAUGCAGCCAUGCCGCGUGUGUGAAGAAGGCCUUCGGGUUGUAAAGCACUUUCAGUUGUGAGGAAAAGUUAGUAGUUAAUACCUGCUAGCCGUGACGUUAACAACAGAAGAAGCACCGGCUAACUCCGUGCCAGCAGCCGCGGUAAUACGGAGGGUGCGAGCGUUAAUCGGAAUUACUGGGCGUAAAGCGCACGCAGGCGGUUUGUUAAGCUAGAUGUGAAAGCCCCGGGCUCAACCUGGGAUGGUCAUUUAGAACUGGCAGACUAGAGUCUUGGAGAGGGGAGUGGAAUUCCAGGUGUAGCGGUGAAAUGCGUAGAUAUCUGGAGGAACAUCAGUGGCGAAGGCGACUCCCUGGCCAAAGACUGACGCUCAUGUGCGAAAGUGUGGGUAGCGAACAGG
rnacentral:rRNA from 1 species